rnacentral:snRNA from 1 species
AUUUCUUCUCGGCCUUUUGGCUAAGAUCAAGUGUAGUAUCUAACUUAUGUAAGAAAAUACCUUUUUAGGAUCGGUUCACUUUCUAAUUCUUUCCAUUUUUCUGGCAUUGGCAUGAUGCAAUGAGAAGUGAUAUGCAG